GCAGCUAUGGAAUUAGUGCCCGUUGUAUAAACCCCGGUCACGAGGUGACUUUGUGUCUAUUCCUUAGGAUGAAUCCUUAGGAAGGAGUGAUAGUUGAUUCUUAGGGUAAACCCUUAAGAAAUAAAUAAAAUAAUGGGGUUUGGGGUAGUUAGGUUGAUUGAUUGAUGUAUAAACAUAAUAAAUUUAUGUAUUGUGGGUUGAAAACCCUAUAUGCUCACCAGGCUUCCAAGCCUGACCCACUCAGCUGUUUAUAUUACAGGUAGAGGACCCCGAGCAUAGUCGGAUGAUGAUGAUGAGUGAAUUUUGGAUUAUAGGCCAGUAGUUACAAAUAACUGUCGUAAGGCUUAUAAUGUCUUGUUUAUGCUUUUGAUCUGUAUUGGAACAUGACAUCCCGAGGUUUUGAUAUAAAAGGAAAUGAUAUAUUUCUUAAAGAAAGGUUUUGACAAACUUUUAUCAUAUUUUGUUUUGGGGACCAACUCCGCAACAUCUUUUAUAAAGAUUUCUCUGAUUUGAUUUUUAAAAAGCAUAAAUUAAAUCGGUCUUUUCUGGCCGAGAAAUUAGGGGAUGUCACAGUUGGUAUCAGAGCAUUAGUUUAAGCGAACUAAGAAAUUGUAGGAUUUCUAGACUUAAACUUAGAAUGCUAAGUGAUGAUUGUGAGAUGAGUGUCUACCAUAAUUUAGACACGAGCACUAGUUUAUUUUAGGAAGGAUGCCUAAAAUGCUUUUAUGUGCUAAAUGUUUUGUGUUAUAGCUAUAAUGAUGCUAUUAUUUGUUCGGAUCUAUGGUCUGUUGCCGACCGGAUCUGGAAACCUUAUGUGUGUAGGAUUCUAAACGUAUGACUACGAUAUUGGAACUAACAUAUAAACGUUUCGAAGACUUAACAUCUAACAAAAAAAAUGAAGAUCUAAAUUCACCUACGAUUGGUGUAUAGAUCGAAAUGCCGAGUACUCAAAGUGGGUUCGGAAGUGAUAAUCCACAGCCUGAGCCAAUCACGAUGACUGGAGUGCAGGCAAUGGUACGUACGAUGUUAGGUGAACAGAUGGAAGAAACAAAACGUUUACUUCAACAAAGUAAGGAUGAACUUAUUGUGCCAAUAGGUCAGACAUCUGUUCUUGAGGAAACUAUUAGGGUUGCUAAGUCUAUUGAAGAAAUGAUCAAUGACACAACCGCCAACAAAGUUGAAGUUGGCAAGAAGAGGAAAUUUGAGGGGUCUUCAAGGCCCAACAAGAGCAACAUAUCCUCAAAGUUUGGCAAAAGAAGAGAUAAAGGAAAAUGGUGCGGGAAGUGCAAAAAUAAACACUCUGGGAAUUGUGACGGGAAGGUGAAGUGCUUUAAGUGUGGAGAAAUAGGGCAUUAUGCCAAUAAGUGUACGAUUCCCAAUGAGGUAUGCUACGGAUGUAAAGAAGAAGGCCAUAUUUCUAAGAAUUGGCAGAAAAACAAUGAAGUAACAAGGCCAAGUGCACCAUCAAUGCCAAAGGAAUUUCAGGAUAUCUUUGACGAAGCGAUUAAUAACACUAGGAAGUAGAAGUGAAGACUUGAUACCCGAAGAUCAAGUUACAAAGUAGUAAUAAGAAUAGUAACAAGUAGUUUAGCCUAUGAGAGGCAUAGUAUAGGGUAAACUUGAACCUUUGUGUAAUCGUUUCAAGGAAAUAAAAUAAACCCUGGUUUUGUCGUCUGAUGAAUAGAAUGGCUGGUGUAAUUUUUGAAGUUGUCCCAAUCAUCUGGAAUUUCCAUCACCAACCAAGUUGAAGUGGAGUUGAUCAUUGAAGAUACGCAUGAAAAAAGUCCUAGUAGAGUCUAGGAAAAUUCUAUGAUUAAUUGGACACAUUCGUAUGUGUUAAAUUGUUUUGUGAUUUUAGGACUUGGGGACUGCGAGACAGUACUUGGGACGAGUAUGAGUAGGUGUGAAUAGUAGUAGAGAUCUAUACUACUGGAAGCACAGGACUCGCACUUGGAUCAGGGAAAGUCACAAGGUUACCAAGAAGCUAUUAUUUGAUUCCGUCUUGUUCUAGUCUGUCGUUACCAUCGUUUCGGUAAUGACUAAGAAGAUGAUUGUUAUUCCGACCUUAGAGGUCAUAUCAAAUUGAGUCCGACUACGAUGAGUUUAUUAUGUGGUUCAGAGAACCAAGUUCGAUGUAACAUUUGACUUAAGCCAGAAGAUUGAAAUGAAAGAUGAUCAAAGCGAUCAAUAGAAGUAUCGCACUCAUUGUUAAAGAAGUUGGUAGUUAGAAAUGAUACAUGUUGAACUGUGAUUGUAUCACAUUAGAACAUGAAGGAAGGUAUAAUUUGUUCUGAAAUUUGUCCCUAGGAGAUCUGAGUCUAAGUAGUGCAGUAUACAAUGAGAGAUCAUUAGAACAUGACCCAUCGGUCUGUUACAAUAAAUGAAGGAAAAUACUUAUUCCAAGAAGAAGAAGGAGUCCUCAAUAAGGAUUUAUUUUGUAACUCGAAGGUUACAAUUGAAAGUCCUAUGGAGAUCUGAAGCUUUUUAGGAUUAGCUGGAUAUUAUUACUGAAUUAUCCAAGGCUUUUCUUCGAUCGCGACUCCAUUGACAGCUUUGACCCACAAAGGAGCUGUCUAUACUUGGAAUGAGAAGCAUAGGAAGCUUUGAGAAGUCAAAGAAGAAGUUGUGUGAAGCACCGAUUCUUUCGUUACCUAAAGGAGUUGAUGACUUCACAGUUUAUAGUGAUGCCUCUAGAGUUGGGUUAGGAUGUGUUCUGACCCAAAGGGAUAAGGUGAUAGCGUAUGCAUCGAGGCAAUUGAAAGAACAUGAAAAGAACUACCCCACUUACGAUUUGGAGUUGGCAGCGGUAGUAUUCUCCCUAAAGAUAUGGAGGCAUUAUCUUUAUGGCACAAAGUGUAAACUUUUCACUGAUCAUAAGAGUCUCCAAUAUCUCUUUGAUCAGAAGGAAUUGAACAUCAGGAAACGACGCUGGCUAGUAUUACUCAAGGACUACGACUGUGAAAUACUUUACCACCCUGGUAAAGCAAAUGUUGUUGCUGAUACUCUCAGUCAGAAGGUAAGUAUUCAAAAGAAAAGGGCCAAGAGCGUUAACAAUUAAAGUUGUCUUGACAAUUGUGAAAAGUAUAAAGAAAGCUCAAGAGGAAGUUUUAGAGAAAAAUGACCGAAAGGAGGAACGUUUGAGUAAAACGUUGGUGUUUGAUACAAACGGUCAAGGACUGGAGGUAUUCAAAGAUAGGAUUUGGGUACCUAGGAUGGGAGGAAUAAGAGGUCUUCUGAUGGAAGAAGCUCACAAGACCAUGUACUCGAUUCAUCCCGACAAUACGAAAAUGUAUAGAGAUCUAAAACCCUAUUAUUGGUAGCCGACGAUGAAGCUCGAAGUUGCUAAAGUAUGUGACUGAGUAUGUAACUUGUUCCAAGGUUAAGGCACAACAUCAGAAAACGUAUGGGAGUUUAGAACCUUUACAUGUACCCAUGGGUAAAUGGGAAUAUAUCACUAUGGAUUCUGUGACUAAACUGCCCAGAACAAGGAACGGUCACAACAUGAUUUGGGUGGCCGUUGAUCGCUUCACUAAGAGUGUGCAUUUCAUAGCAGCCAACGAGAAAUGGUCUAUGGAUAAACUUGCGAAUUCUUAUGUGAAGAAAAGUGUGAGGCUUCAUGGUGUUUCGUUAACGAUUGUAUCCGAUCGUGAAAGACAUUUUACCUCAAGGUUUUAGAGGAGUCUAUAAGAGGAAUUGGGUACCAAGUUGUGUUUGAAUACAACUUACCGUCUGCAAACUGAUGGUCAGAGCGAAUGAACGAUUCAAACGUUGUAGGAUAUGUUGAGAACAUGUACCCUAGAAUUUCAAGGUAACUGGGAUGAACACUUACCUUUAGUAGAAUUCACCUAUAAUAAUAGUUUCCACUCAAGUGUCAAGAUGGUACCUUAUCACGCUUUGCAUGUGAAAAAGUGUCGGAUGCCAUCAUGUUGGUUGGGAGCUGAGGAAAAGAAGUUUAUGGGACUUGAAAUAGUCCAUUAGAUUGCUGAAAAGUUGUAAGUGAUUAGGGAAAAAGAUGUUAGCUUCUCAAAAGAGCUAUGCUGAUAAGAAGAGACAACCGAUAUCAUUCGAAGUUUGAGAUUCGGUUUCACUUAAAGUCUCGUCGUGGAAGGGACUUAUAAGAUUUGGUAGAAGGGGAAAGUUGAGUCCAAGGUUUAUUGGACCAUUUAAAGUUCUUCAGAGAAUCCAAAAUCGAAGUUGGAGAUUCGGUUUCAAUUAAAGUCUCGCAUGAACAGUAACCGCGGUCCACUAGCAGUCCGACGCAUGUACUAUCCUCGUGUCCGAGCCUCGCACAUGGGUCACGAGUCCGCGGUCCAAUCAGAGGCUGCCACCGAGUCCCUCGCACCUGCGCACCCUCGCCUGUGGACCCCACCACCAAGCCGACUUCGGACCAGUAGAAUUCGGUCCAAUCACAGGAAGCCAGCAAGCCUUCCCACGUGCAGCACUCGUGCUAGCCUUCCCAUGCGAGCCCUCGGAUCUGUGGCGCAUGGUUCCUUCUCAGCCGUCCGAUCAGAAGAUCCACCCUAUAAAUAGAAGGUUGCGAGCCUUCCCGGGUAACUUUGGAAAUUUGCCACUUUUCACCCUAAAUCUCAUACUUCUUUCAUAUUAGCAUCCCCUAAAGCCCCGAUAUCAAUUGUAAACCCCGGAAUACUCCAUGAAGUGUUCGUGAAGCCCGAAAAAUUUAUCUUUUCGGUUUCGAAGCCCGACCUUUCGCAGAGCCCGGUUUCUCAAUAAAACUCCCGGUUUUAUUAGAAACGAUCGUUUUAGGAAACGAAUUGCUGCCCGGUUUUCAUUAAAUCAAGUGAGUGUGUAGUUACUUUCACCUUACACAUAGAUAUGAAGUAUUUUACAUAAAAUACGUGUUGUGUGAAUAUAUAUUGUUUGUUUAUUUGAGAUGGGUGCUGAAGGAAUGAUUUAUACAUGUUUUUAAAUAAUUUAAACUAUAUAUGUAUUUUUAUCUACGAAAAAUGUUGGGUAAAACAUGGGUAGAUGAAAUAGUGGGUAUGAUGAAAGGUGAGUUGGAUAAAGGAGAUGAUCAAUAAUAUUGAUCAUGAGUUGAGGGUGAGUGGUGAAAAUUUGAGAGAAUCACUUACCCAAAUUGUUGGCCCCCGUCAUUCAGCAGAGUAUGGAUGACAACCAUGGACUAUUCUAGACAGUCUAUGGAACACUAGCAGGCCCGCAACCUGUAGGUGUAAUGAACUAUAUGUUCAUUUGUUGUACUCUAAAACCCAUUGACAUGUAUUGCAGGAGAGAAUACCUGUAAAUAAUAUUGUCGAUAAAUGAGAGCUAUGGACUUAGCACAUGUUGAAUAAACUUUGGCAGCUAUGGAAUUAGUGCCCGUUGUAUAAACCCCGGUCACGAGGUGACUUUGUGUCUAUUCCUUAGGAUGAAUCCUUAGGAAGGAGGGAUAGUUGAUUCUUAGGGUAAACCCUUAAGAAAUAAAUAAAAUAAUGGGGUUUGGGGUAAUUCGGUUGAUUGAUUGAUGUUUAAACAUAAUAAAUUUAUGUAUUGUGGGUUGAAAACCCUAUAUGCUCACCAGGCUUCCAAGCCUGGCCCACUCAGCUGUUUAUAUUACAGGUAGAGGACCCCGAGCAUAGUCGGAUGAUGAUGAUGAGUGAAUUUUGGAUUAUAGGCUAGUAGUUACAAAUAACUGUCGUAAGGCUUAUAAUGUCUUGUUUAUGCUUUUGAUCUGCAUCGGAACAUGACAUCCCGAGGUUUUGAUAUAAAAGGAAAUG
rnacentral:lncRNA from 1 species